UGGAAGCAGCAGCAGCACGAGCGCGAGCACCAAUGGCGUCGAUCUCGAGCUUGGAUUUGGGAAAGAUCGUGCCCGGCGCCGGCUUCCUCCUCCACCGCCACGCCGCCGUUCCCAGCGCCCCUAUUCUCCGGGGGAGGAGCGCGAGCGGGCGGUGCGGCCUCGCUGUCUCGGUCUCGUCCUCCAAUGGUAGAUCUGCUCCGUGCAAUUGUUUGUGAUGUUGGAGCUGAGUUCAGUCAUAGUAAUGAGGUAAAAUUAGAGAUCCAUUUGGAGGGAGAUCGCAUGUAAAUGGUGUCCAGUUGGGCGUUGUUGAGAUUAAUCAUGGUGUUGAAUAUUCAGUUACAAACUUGUAAUUUCAGGUUCAGCUGGGCUCUCCCCACUGAGUGACUCGGAGAAGAAAUGCCCUGUGGUGAUGGAGAUCCCGCUGGAAGAUAUCCGGAGGCCGCUAUUUCAAACGCGUGCUAAUGAUCCCGAUAAGGUGCAGGAGCUCAUCGACAGCAUCCGUGUCAUCGGCCUCCAAGUACCUGUGGGCAUCUUUUCCUUUAACAUUAAUUUUACCAAAAUUAUUUUCUUUUAGCAAAUAUAAGAUAAAUUAUAUUAGAACUUGAAUUUUCUUGUGUGGAAUGGAGUACAUACAAAUAAAGUUAUAGAGUAGCUAAUACAUGGCCGACCACUGCUACUGAAUUCAGUGAUCUCCACACAGUUGUCUGAGGACGUUUGUGCUAUGGUUGAUUGAGAUUCACUUGA